UGGUUCUGGCAUCGAUGAAGAACGCAGCGAAAUGCGAUAAGUAAUGUGAAUUGCAGAAUUCAGUGAAUCAUCGAAUCUUUGAACGCACAUUGCGCCCUUUGGUAUUCCGAAGGGCAUGCCUGUCCGAGCGUCAUUUCACCACUCAAGCCUCGCUUGGUAUUGGGCGCCGCGGGUCCCCCGCGCGCCUUAAAGUCUUUCCGGCUGAGCGGCUCGUCUCCAAGCGUUGUGGCAACUAUUCGCGGCGAGAUCGGGCGGCGGCGGCCGUUAAAUCUUUCAUUCCGGUUGACCUCGGAUCAGGUAGGGAUACCCGCUGA
rnacentral:misc_RNA from 1 species